AUGAAAUGUUGCCUGGAGACAAUGGCCGAGACAGCAGGUCGCACCCAGCACAGCCGCCUUCACCUCUCCCCACGGCCCUGUCCCGCCUUUGCAGUUGGGUCUGCACAUUUCUCUGCUGAGCCUGAACCUGAAGAGUCUGUGGCAGUGGCGGCAGUGCUGAUCACUUCACCCUGUGCUCAUGGAGCACAGCAACGAGAUUGGGAGAAUGGAUUUCGGCCAGGGAUGAAGGAGGUAUCUCAGGAAGGAUUUCAUCUCCACCAACACUCAGGUAUAGGACAGAUAUAA
rnacentral:lncRNA from 1 species